rnacentral:rRNA from 1 species
AACUGCGAGUGAAGCGGGAAAAGCUCAAAUUUAAAAUCUGGCGGUCUUUGGCCGUCCGAGUUGUAAUUUAGAGAAGCGUCUUCCGCGCUGGACCGUGCACAAGUCUCCUGGAAUGGAGCGUCAUAGAGGGUGAGAAUCCCGUCUUUGGCACGGAUGCCUGGUGCUUCUGUGAUGCGCUCUCGAAGAGUCGAGUUGUUUGGGAAUGCAGCUCAAAAUGGGUGGUGAACUCCAUCUAAAGCUAAAUAUUGGCGAGAGACCGAUAGCGAACAAGUACCGUGAGGGAAAGAUGAAAAGCACUUUGGAAAGAGAGUGAAACAGUACGUGAAAUUGUUGAAAGGGAAACGCUUGAAGUCAGUCGCGUCGACCGAGACUCAGCCUUGCCUCGGCUUGGUGUACUUCUCGGCCCGACGGGUCAGCGUCAAUUUUGCCCCUCGGAUAAUGGCAAGGGAAAGGUGGCACCUUUACGGGUGUGUUAUAGUCUCCUGUCGCAUGCGAGGGGUGGGAUUGAGGAACUCAGCGCGCACCUUGGUGUCGGGGCUUCG